UACGGGGGGAGCAAGCGUUGCUCGGAUUUACUGGGCGUAAAGGGCGCGUAGGCGGUAGCACAAGUCAGUUGUGAAAUCUCCGGGCUUAACUCGGAAAGGGCAACUGAUACUGUGCGACUAGAGUGCAGAAGGGGCAACUGGAAUUCUCGGUGUAGCGGUGAAAUGCGUAGAUAUCGAGAGGAACACCUGCGGCGAAGGCGGGUUGCUGGGCUGACACUGACGCUGAGGCGCGAAAGCCAGGGGAGCGAACGGG
rnacentral:rRNA from 1 species